AUGCUGGAGUUCGUGCACCGCAUGGGCUGGCGCGUGCAGAAGCCCGACGGCGGCGUGGUGGACGCCUUCUGCACCCAGGUCGGCGUGCCCCACCGCGUCCUCAAGGUGUGGAUGCACAACAACAAGCACCUCGCCAAGACCUCGGCCACGUCCCUGCAGCCGCUGCCGCCGCUCCACCACGACCCUAGUCCUCCUCCCCACCACCAGCACCAGCACUAG
rnacentral:rRNA from 1 species